rnacentral:tRNA from 1 species
GCGGGAGUAGCUCAACUGAUAGAGCGCGACGCUUCCAGCGUUGAGGUGCAGGUGCAAGGCCUGCCUCCUGCU